AUUGAACGCUGGCGGCAGGCUUAAUACAUGCAAGUCGAGCGAGCGGCGGACGGGUGAGUAAUGUCUGGGAAACUGCCUGAUGUAGGGGUAUAACUACUGGAAACGGUAGCUAAUACCGCAUACCAUCAGAUGUGCCCAGAUUGGAUUAGCUAGUGGGUGGGGUAAUGGCUCACCUAGGCGACGAUGCCUAGCGGGUCUGAGAGGGUGACCAGCAACACUGGAACGGAGACACGGUCCAGACGCCUACGGGAGGCAGCAGUGGGGAAUAUUGGACAAUGGGCGAAAGCCUGAUGCAGCCAUGCCGCGUGUGUGAAGAAGGCCUUCGGGUUGUAAAGCACUUUCAGCGGAGAGGCGUUACUCGCAGAAGAAGCACCGGCUAACUCCGUGCCAGCAGCCGCGGUAAUAC
rnacentral:rRNA from 1 species